rnacentral:lncRNA from 1 species
CUCUGGUGGGAUGAACUAUCUGACCCUUAUCUGAGUUGACCUGACCCUGUCAUCUCUAUUUUAGCCCUGAUUUGAUCUGCUGUUUCAAAGCAACAAGGCUGAAGCUACACAGACCAUUUUCCUUUGCAGGUGAAGAUUUAUGAUAAGUAAACUGAUGGCUGAAAUAAAUCUGACACUGGCCCUUUGGAGAUUUGGUAUUUUUAACAAGGAAGAUUAUUCACGCUGUAAGGCAAGAACCAAUGAGAGACCAACCAAGCAAGUUCCAACAAUGCCUGCAACAAUUCCCGGGGCCUCUCCUUUGGAGAAAAUUGGACCCAAGAGAACAAUGCCUUUCUUUAUGAGAAUGACUGCAACACAACCAAAAUUAUUCACAAGAAAUUUCAUUUUAUCAUUUAAUCUAUUCCAAUUCUGGUACUUCUGCUGGAUGCAGGGAUAAAUUUCUGAGCAAAUAGCAUCUGAUAAUGACUAGCUUUUUAUGAACUACAGAGCCAAAUGAAAAAACAAAAAGAAAGUGACCAUAUUUUCUCUUAUGUAGAGCCAUGUUUAUUUUGUCCUAUUUUGUAUUUCUCUGAUCUCAAAUUUUGGAUGUAUAUAACACUCCAUACAAAGGAAUAUUUCCAUGUUUAGGUAACUAAUGAAUUCUGUAGAUGGAUGUGUGUGUGUGUGUGUGUGUGCAUGUGUGCCAACCUUAGAAAUAUGAAAUAUCUUGAGACCCAGGUAUGGCCAAGUAUAGGCUGUGAUAUGAAGUUUGAAGAAUAAAUUUCAAAGUUGUCACA